UACGUAGGGUGCGAGCGUUAAUCGGAUUUACUGGGCGUAAAGCGUGCGCAGGCGGCCCGUUAAGACAGGUGUGAAAUCCCGGGGCUCAACCUAGGAAUUGCGCUUGUGACUGGCGGGCUCGAGUACGGUAGAGGGCGGUGGAAUUCCGGGUGUAGCAGUGAAAUGCGUAGAGAUCAGGAGGAACACCGAUGGCGAAGGCAGCCCCCUGGGCCUGUACUGACGCUCAUGCACGAAAGCGUGGGGAGCAAACAGG
rnacentral:rRNA from 1 species